UACGUAGGGUGCAAGCGUUGUUCGGAAUUACUGGGCGUAAAGGGCGCGUAGGCGGGCCCGUAUGUCGAUUGUGAAAGCCCUGGGCUUAACCCGGGAAUGGCAGUCGAAACUGCGGGUCUGAGUGCCUGAGAGGAUGGCGGAAUUCCCGGUGUAGAAGUGAAAUUCGUAGAUAUCGGGAAGAACACCUGAGGCGAAGGCGGCUAUCUGGCGGUGCACUGAGCUGAGGCGCGAAAGCGUGGGGAGCAAACAGG
rnacentral:rRNA from 1 species